UUCCCCCCCGGAUGAGCCGCCAGCAGCUGGAGGUUUGGGAGCGGAGCUGCGUGGUGCAGAGCAUCGAACCCGAGCACCAGGCCUCAAAGACUGGCACUGGGUUCGAGUCCCUUCUGGAGGAACACAGUGGUGACCUCCUGCUCACUGUGGAUGUUAUGGAGUCAUUUCACCCUCAAAGACCUCAGGACUGGGUUGUCCUGGACCUGCAGGAGACCCCCCCUGUGGUCGGGCAGUGUCCUGUUCCCAGGCAACACAUGCAGAUUGUGGGUUAACACCCAGGUCACCCGUCAGGUCGUCAGGUCGUCAGCUGCUUGUUGUGUUACUUUUGUCCACUAUAGUUUCAUCACAUUUGAUUUGUCUUGUUUGUUGACUGUGAUUUUGUUUGACGGUUAUUUGUGAAGCACUUUGUAAAGCUUCUUAAACAAAGUUAUUCUUCUUGUUAUUGCUGUGAUUAUUUAAUGUUUCUCAUGUGUCUUUGGAGUUUUAAAAUUUGCAUCACUUUUAAGUUCUGUUCUACGUGUAUUUUUAUAUUUAUAUUGCUUAAACCUCAUGUUUGUACAUGUUGUACUAAUAUUCCCUUUAAUAGGCGACAUUUUCUCUUCUCCUUUACUUUUGCCAUCACUUUUUAAUGAUGUUGUAUUAUUUUAUCUGCAAUCUGAUUUGAAAAUGAUUUGAGUGGCUAAGGGGGCAAGUGCUCGUCCUUAAACCAGCAGGUCGGCAGUUCAAUUCCCAGUCUCCCCCAUCUGCCUGCUAAAGUGCCCUUGGGCCAGAUACUGAACCUUUAAAGCUUCUGCCAAAUGACAGGAUGUUGAGCUCCCCUUGCUGGUCAUGAAGCUGUAUUACAGUAACUACACCAGUCUCCAUGUUAGUUAGCUGAGCUCCUCCUCUCUUCAGGAUAAACACCUGUGAGUUUUGUAGAGACUUUACGUUGAUGUUUCUAACACGUGACAGAUGCAAACAUUUAAAAUAACACAAACACACACUAAAUAUCUGUUGUCAAUUAUCUAUAAACAAAACUUCUGAUCUACGCAGCAGAUUUUAUACAUUACUUCCUUUAUAUGUUACUCCAGAUAAAGUCCGGACCAAAUUCUGUGGAAAUCCUCAGAAAAUAUUUAAAAAACGACUCUUCAGCAACUUUGAUUAGAAUAAACUGAAGGUCAAUGAACUGAUGGAUUAUUGUCAGUGAUGGUCGAGUAUCUGAGGAGAAAUAUUACAUAUCAAGAAGUCACAACAGUGAUUGGAUAAUUAUUAACCUGACUCACACAAAUAAGAAAAGUUCAAUUCCUUGUUACACAUGGAAUUCAUGUUGUCAUAGAAAAGAUUAAAACAGUUCAAAUGUUGGUGUUGGAGUGUUAACAUGCACAAAAAUAAAUAAACACUCAAAUCAGUU